UACGGGGGGGGUAAGCGUUGUUCGGAAUUACUGGGCGUAAAGGGCGCGUAGGCGGUCAGCACAAGUCAGUUGUGAAAUCUCCGGGCUUAACUCGGAAAGGUCAACUGAUACUGUGCGACUAGAGUGCAGAAGGGGCAACUGGAAUUCUCGGUGUAGCGGUGAAAUGCGUAGAUAUCGAGAGGAACACCUGCGGCGAAGGCGGGUUGCUGGGCUGACACUGACGCUGAUGCGCGAAAGCCAGGGGAGCGAACGGG
rnacentral:rRNA from 1 species